AGGACCUCCUCAAAGGACUGGGCACAGUUAAAGAUUCCCUCUUUGUUCUCCAUGAGCUGGGAGAGCAACUGAAGCAACAAGUGGAUGCUUCCGCAGCAUCCGCUAUUCAAUCGGAUCAACUCUCUUUGAGUCAACACUUGUGUGCCCUGGAGCAGGCUCUCUGCAAACAGCAGACUUCGUUACAGGCUGGAGUUCUUGAUUAUGAAACCUUUGCCAAGAGUUUAGAAGCUUUGGAGGCCUGGAUAGUGGAAGCUGAAGAAAUACUACAAGGGCAGGACCCUAGCCACUCAUCUGACCUCUCCACAAUCCAGGAAAGGAUGGAAG
rnacentral:lncRNA from 1 species